rnacentral:rRNA from 1 species
UACAGAGAGUGCAAACGUUGUUCGGAAUCACUGGGCAUAAAGCGCGCGUAGGCGGCGCCACAAGUGCGGGGUGAAAUCCCACGGCUUACCCGUGGAACUGCCUGGUAUACUGUGGUGCUAGAGGAUGGUAGGGAAGAGCGGAACUCCUGGUGGAGCGGUGAAAUGCGUAGAGAUCAGGAGGAACACCGGUGGCGAAGGCGGCUCUUUGGUCCAUUUCUGACGCUGAGGUGCGAAAGCUAGGGGAGCAAACGGG